AUCAUAGCAAUGGAAGUCACGAAGCCAAGAAUCACUGAGGGAAAUGCAAAUCCACAGGCCAUUCAGCUCUGAGGCAGCAUUCUCAAAUGCUGAAGUCAUCUCCUAUUCACCCGAGGCUUCAGAUCUGCACAUCGAUAUGUGAAAUUGGAGGCUAAUAAGCAGAUAUUGAUUUCUCUAAGGGUGAAUGUCAAUAUUUACAAUCCCGAGAGGUGGCAACUGAUUGAGGCAAAAACAAAGUCGUGAUGGCAACUGCCAAGGUCACAGCUGAGCAGUAAUCCUGCUCUUCACAAUACAGGUCAAUGCCUCUGCCUCCAAAAGGUGCCAGAUUACUUAGACGAAAAGUGAAAACUUCAGCUGCUCCUCUGAAUAUUACCAGUCUCCAUCACCUAAUAGCCAGGAAAGAAUGGUAGAUUUGUAUGCCGAUCAGAAGAUGGAUGAAUAUCAAGACAGACAGUGGUCAAAUCGUGAGGACAGCAGACUUCCCAGGCCCCUCAGUACACAAAUUCUUCAUAAUUCCCUAAAGCAAGGCCCAGGCCAAAGGAUGCUUCAGGUGGAGCAAGUUUCUGGUUAGAAACUUUCUAGUCAGACACCAAACAUCUUGGAGCCAGACACUGUGCAAAUCAAAACAAAACAAUAAAAGUGAGGCAUGAAGAAGAAAGCA
rnacentral:lncRNA from 1 species